GGGUCAUCCAAAGGCACAUCCCAUCAUCUCAGCCUGGGAUCUCUCUAAGGGACCAAGCUGGGAUCAGCAGGAACAGAGAGAGCCAGCCAGGUGAUUAGUUCAGCUUGCUUCUUUCAGGACCACGGAGAGGACCUGUGCACAUCAACUGCCCUUGAUCUAGUCUGUUUCCAAAAUGUCCCGUGUGUCACUCCUACCAAACCUUCUGCCCCAGGGGGACAAAAAAAGGGAGGUCUCAGCUUCAGGUCUCCUUCCUUGGAGAAUACACUCUGUUGUUGCUCAUCACUUGGG